AUGUCACCCCCUCUUCCUUCUUCUACUCCAUUGAGAGUGUGUUGUGUUCCUUCGGCUACCCACUCUUUCUCUUCUGUCCGCGCCCCCACCUACAGUGGGGAUAAGAGGGGAGGCUCGGCUAUUUUUCUUCAUAGCAGGUGUAGGGUUGUCGUCAUUGUAGUGUUUGGCCUCGUGUCGGUGCUUGGUGCUAUGUCGCUUGGGAGCCGUUCAUUGGAGUUCGCAAGCAGCUGUUGUUGGUCAUCGACGUUGCCUUCUGCAUUGCCACUACGGUGGAGGGAAGAGGAGGGCGGUGGAUAUGGUGGUUCCCACCAAAAUAAGCUCGUCUGGGCUCCUGAACAAGCAGCGGUAGGAGAUUUCAUGCCCACUUCUUGCCGUCCUGAAGGCGGGAAGGGAAGAUGA
rnacentral:rRNA from 1 species